CAUGAUUUUUGCUCACCACAACCUCCACCUCCCAGGUUCAAGCAAUUCUCCUGCCUCAGCCUCCCAAGCAGCUGGGUUCGUUUCUUCUUGCUGAACUGGCUGAAUUAAGGGGAGUAGCUUAAGGCCUUGAGGAUUAUUAUAGACACAGAUGGACAGGCUUUACAAACUUGUCAAAAAAAAAGAGGGUUUUUUUGUUUUUUGUUUUUGUUUGUUUACAGCUGAUGGAGAUGGUCUCUCCCAAAGAGACAAGAAUUAUGGAGUGCCCUUAUUUCUGCUGGAGUACCUGAGGAAAACAAAGAACAUCUCCCAGUUUAUACAGUCUUUCAGGUCCCAGGGUAUAUUCACAAACUCUCAGUCUUCAAACGGUCCUGCAAUAGGAAUAUCAGCCUACUUUCCUCCCUUCUGGACAACGAUGGUCCUCCACAUUUUCCUCUGGACACUGCAUGUUGAACUUUCUGGAAGAACAUUGAGGGAAUCUGUUUCUGACAAAGAGCAAGAUAAUGACACACUGAUGAGUUCUUUAUAUCAGCAGGAAGUAGUUACAGAAGACCCACAGUGUCCCUAGACUCAAAGAUUUAUAGUCUCAAUCUAUUGAGGAGGAAAUUUUAGAGCAGGCAGUUAGACAUGAGCAGAAAAAAAGAGCUCCUGGGGGAGAAAUAAUCUCAUGCUCCAAAGACAACCCAAAACAUGUAUGCUAAAUUUGAACAGAGAGGAGUGGAAAUGCCUAUGAAUAAAGUACACCUGGAAACACCCCUUAAGACACCCAGUAAUUGCUCAUACUGUGAUUAAACUGUCAAGAUGUAGCUAGCUACAUGCUAAUAAAAAGGGGGAAAGGGCAAAAGGAAAAUUCCUAAGAGAUAUGUAGGCACAAUAAGUACAGAUUUGAAUGCUAUGUGAUUUUCCUGGGGUGAUGGUAAUAAGCAAUGCUGCCAUUAACUCAUUGAUCGCUGGAACAAUCAGCUGACAGUAAGGAAGCAUCUCACAGACCUGGGCAGAAACUCAGUGAGGAUAAAAAAAGAGAUUUACCUGGAAGCAGGAAACUAAACAAAGACAAAGGCCACUUAAGACAGAGAUGGAAAUUUUUUUGUUAAAAUCUAUGAUAAUAAAAACGGCAACAUGUAACUCUCAAGGCUGUUUCCAGCUGGACCACCCCCCUCCUCUUUUAGUGUGUACUUUAUUUUCCUUUAAUAAGCUCUUGGCUUGCUUCGCUAAUUGUCUCUGGGCUGAAUUAUAUCUCUCAAGAAAACAA